AAUGAACGCUGGCGGCAGGCCUAACACAUGCAAGUCGAGCGAGCAUUUCGGUGCUAGCGGCGGACGGGUGAGUAACGCGUGGGAACGUGCCCUUUUCUGCGGAAUAGUCCUGGGAAACUGGGGGUAAUACCGCAUACGCCCUUUUGGGGAAAGAUUUAUCGGAGAAGGAUCGGCCCGCGUUGGAUUAGGUAGUUGGUGGGGUAAUGGCCCACCAAGCCGACGAUCCAUAGCUGGUUUGAGAGGAUGAUCAGCCACACUGGGACUGAGACACGGCCCAGACUCCUACGGGAGGCAGCAGUGGGGAAUCUGAGACAAUGGGGGCAACCCUGAUCUAGCCAUGCCGCGUGAGUGAUGAAGGCCUUAGGGUUGUAAAGCUCUUUCAGCUGGGAAGAUAAUGACGGUACCAGCAGAAGAAGCCCCGGCUAACUCCGU
rnacentral:rRNA from 1 species